rnacentral:rRNA from 1 species
UACGUAGGGUGCGAGCGUUGUCCGGAAUUAUUGGGCGUAAAGAGCUCGUAGGCGGUCUGUCGCGUCGGUCGUGAAAACUUGGGGCUUAACCCUGAGCUUGCGGUCGAUACGGGCAUGACUGGAGUUCGGUAGGGGAGACUGGAAUUCCUGGUGUAGCGGUGAAAUGCGCAGAUAUCAGGAGGAACACCGGUGGCGAAGGCGGGUCUCUGGGCCGAUACCGACGCUGAGGAGCGAAAGCGCGGGGAGCGAACAGG